rnacentral:rRNA from 2 species
ACGGGUGAGUAACACGUGGGUAACCUACCUAUAAGACUGGGAUAACUUCGGGAAACCGGAGCUAAUACCGGAUAACAUUUAGAACCGCAUGGUUCUAAAGUGAAAGAUGGUUUUGCUAUCACUUAUAGAUGGACCCGCGCCGUAUUAGCUAGUUGGUAAGGUAACGGCUUACCAAGGCGACGAUACGUAGCCGACCUGAGAGGGUGAUCGGCCACACUGGAACUGAGACACGGUCCAGACUCCUACGGGAGGCAGCAGUAGGGAAUCUUCCGCAAUGGGCGAAAGCCUGACGGAGCAACGCCGCGUGAGUGAUGAAGGGUUUCGGCUCGUAAAACUCUGUUAUUAGGGAAGAACAAAUGUGUAAGUAACUGUGCACAUCUUGACGGUACCUAAUCAGAAAGCCACGGCUAACUACGUGCCAGCAGCCGCGGUAAUACGUAGGUGGCAAGCGUUAUCCGGAAUUAUUGGGCGUAAAGCGCGCGUAGGCGGUUUCUUAAGUC